rnacentral:rRNA from 1 species
UACAGAGGUCUCAAGCGUUGUUCGGAUUCAUUGGGCGUAAAGGGUGCGUAGGCGGCGCGGUAAGUCGGGUGUGAAAUUUCGAGGCUUAACUUCGAAACUGCAUUCGAUACUGCCGUGCUCGAGGACUGGAGAGGAGACUGGAAUUUACGGUGUAGCGGUGAAAUGCGUAGAUAUCGUAAGGAAGACCAGUGGCGAAGGCGGCUCUCUGGAACGCAACUGACGCUGAGACGCGAAAGCGUGGGGAGCAAACAGG